rnacentral:rRNA from 1 species
GAGUGGCGAACGGGUGAGUAAUACAUCGGAACGUGCCCAAUCGUGGGGGAUAACGCAGCGAAAGCUGUGCUAAUACCGCAUACGAUCUACGGAUGAAAGCAGGGGAUCGCAAGACCUUGCGCGAAUGGAGCGGCCGAUGGCAGAUUAGGUAGUUGGUGAGGUAAAGGCUCACCAAGCCUUCGAUCUGUAGCUGGUCUGAGAGGACGACCAGCCACACUGGGACUGAGACACGGCCCAGACUCCUACGGGAGGCAGCAGUGGGGAAUUUUGGACAAUGGGCGCAAGCCUGAUCCAGCCAUGCCGCGUGCAGGAUGAAGGCCUUCGGGUUGUAAACUGCUUUUGUACGGAACGAAACGGCCUUUUCUAAUAAAGAGGGCUAAUGACGGUACCGUAAGAAUAAGCACCGGCUAACUACGUGCCAGCAGCCGCGGUAAUACGUAGGGUGCAAGCGUUAAUCGGAAUUACUGGGCGUAAAGCGUGCGCAGGCGGUGAUGUAAGACAGUUGUGAAAUCCCCGGGCUCAACCUGGGAACUGCAUCUGUGACUGCAUUGCUGGAGUACGGCAGAGGGGGAUGGAAUUCCGCGUGUAGCAGUGAAAUGCGUAGAUAUGCGGAGGAACACCGAUGGCGAAGGCAAUCCCCUGGGCCUGUACUGACGCUCAUGCACGAAAGCGUGGGGAGCAAACAGGAUUAGAUACCCUG